rnacentral:rRNA from 1 species
AGUGAACGCUGGCGGUAGGCCUAACACAUGCAAGUCGAACGGCAGCACAGUAAGAGCUUGCUCUUACGGGUGGCGAGUGGCGGACGGGUGAGGAAUACAUCUGAAUCUACUUUUUCGUGGGGGAUAACGUAGGGAAACUUACGCUAAUACCGCAUACGACCUACGGGUGAAAGCAGGGGAUCUUCGGACCUUGCGCGAUUGAAUGAGCCGAUGUCGGAUUAGCUAGUUGGCGGGGUAAAGGCCCACCAAGGCGACGAUCCGUAGCUGGUCUGAGAGGAUGAUCAGCCACACUGGAACUGAGACACGGUCCAGACUCCUACGGGGGGCAGCAGUGGGGAAUAUUGGACAAUGGGCGCAAGCCUGAUCCAGCCAUACCGCGUGGGUGAAGAAGGCCUUCGGGUUGUAAAGCCCUUUUGUUGGGAAAGAAAAGCAGCAGGUUAAUACCCCGCUGUUCUGACGGUACCCAAAGAAUAAGCACCGGCUAACUUCGUG